UACGUAGGGUGCGAGCGUUAAUCGGAAUUACUGGGCGUAAAGAGUGCGUAGGCGGUUUAGUAAGUUGGAAGUGAAAAUCCCGGGGCUCAACCUCGGAAUUGCUUUCAAAACUGCUAAACUAGAGUAUGGUAGGGGCUAGUAGAAUUCCUAGUGUAGGGGUGAAAUCCGUAGAUAUUAGGAGGAAUACCAGAGGCGAAGGCGACUAGCUGGGCCAUUACUGACGCUAAGGGUACGAAAAGCGUGGGGAGCAAACAGG
rnacentral:rRNA from 1 species